rnacentral:lncRNA from 1 species
AUAGUAACCACAUCCCCUAACUUUAUGGGCCGUUACUCUCCAAUCACACCGGCUAUCAGGACACUCAACAACAAAAGAAUUUAUCUUUGUCUGUGUCUGAGUGAACUUGAACUGCUUCUUUAUCGCAUAUAUGGCUAAAGCAAUCUGACAAUCCUCUUUGCUUCCAAACACCUUACCAACUUCUAUCCUACUGUCAAACUCAUCCACAUCCAUGUCUGGUAUUUCAGCAGCAUCCCAUUCGGUAUCAUCAAAAAGCGGUGGGAUGUCAAACUCUUCAUCAUCGAUGUCCUCAAGUUUUCGUUUUGGCACUUCACCCCUGUUAACAUCCACCCCUGCCUUAGUACGACCUCCCAUCCAAGGAUUAUUGUAAUCAUGUGGUUCCUCCACUUUCGCUUCUCCUCCACUACCACCUCCUCCACUACCACCACCUCCCUCUACGUAGUGGUCAAAACAGCUUCCUGUAUCACAGAAGUAAGUGCGC